rnacentral:rRNA from 1 species
UACGUAGGGGGCAAGCGUUGUCCGGAUUUAUUGGGCGUAAAGAGCGUGUAGGCGGUUUGGUAGGUCCGCUGUGAAAACUCGAGGCUCAACCUCGAGACGUCGGCGGAAACCAUCUGGCUAGAGUCCGGAAGAGGAGAAUGGAAUUCCACGUGUAGCGGUGAAAUGCGUAGAGAUGUGGAGGAACACCAGUGGCGAAGGCGACUCUUUGGUCUGUAACUGACGCUGAGGCGCGAAAGCGUGGGGAGCAAACAGG